AUCAGUAAAAGUCAAAUAAUAACGAUUAGCAUCCCUUGUGGCAUGUUUGAAUGGUCCACACACAUCCGUGUGUAUAAGGUCCAACAAACCUUCACCCCUCUCACACGAACCUGUGAAGGGUGACUUUGUCAUUUUUCCAAGUAAGCAUGAUUCGCAACUAUCAUCUGACUUUAGGUCAAACGACUCCAAGACUCCAUCCUUUUGGAGUUGGCCUAUGCGUUUCUUGCUUAUAUGUCCAAGACGACAAUGCCAUAAAGAUGCUUUAUCCAAGUUAUUAUUAGUAGAAUCAAUACACAAAACAUUAUUUCCCAAGUUAUCUACAACAGAUACAGCUUCAUACACACCAUCACAAGGUAAUGCUUUAAAAUAAAAGACAUUAUUAUAGAAAACAUCUAUAGAACCAACUUCAUUAUUAAAUGAAAAGGUAAACCCUUGUUUGUACAAAGCAUGAAAGGAAAUAAUAUUUCUUGCCAUUCCUGGCGAAUAACAACACUUAUUCAAAUCUAAACUAAACCCACUACUUAGCGAUAAAGUAUAAACUCCAAUCUUGGUAACAGGUAUAGCUUUCCUAUUCCCCAUGAUCAAGUUUAUCCUUCCUUGCUCCACAUCCUCACUUCUUCUUAGUCCCUGCAAGUCACAACAAAUGUGAAUACCACACCCGGUAUCAAGGACCCAAGAAUUAGAAUGGGGUGAGUUAUUAGAAAUGAUAGUGUAAAUACCUGCAUGGUUGGGUUUAACUUUCCCAUCCUUCACAUCUUGCUGGUAUUUUGGGCAGUUCCGCUUCCAAUGAGCUUUUUCAUGGCAAUAGAAGCAUUCAGCCUCUUUUGGGUCAGAAGAAGGAGUAAUGAAACCUUUCUUGGUUCCACUUGAAGAAGAGCCAUCAAGGGUCCGAACCUUGGUACCCUUAGAAGAGCUCUUUCUCUUCCUCCCUCGACUUUUCCCGAUUGCCAAAACCGGAGUAGAGUUUUGAGUAGGAGUGAUAGCAACCGACUUCCCCUUAAGACCUGAUUCUGCGGUCUUGAGAAGUCCCUGAAGUUUGCUGAGGGUGACUUCUUCCUUGUUCAUGUGAUAUGUCAUGCGGAAUUGAUCAUAGCACGAUGGUAAGGAAUGCAAAAUAAUAUCUAUUGCAAGAUCCUCCGGGAAGUUCACAUUAAGCUUCAGCAAACGAUCCACAUACCUUUGCAUUUUCUGCAUGUGGCUCGUGACGGAUUCCCCGUCCUUCAUCAUGGUUGUUAUCAUGGAGCAGAUGAUUUCAUACCUCUCUUGUCUUGCACUUUGAUGGUAUCUUUCCAUCAAAUCUUGGUGCAUUUCAUAAGGGUAGAAAUCCUCAUAAGACUUUUGGAGUUCCGCUGUCAUCGUGGCCAUCAUGAUGCAAGCCACUUUCGUAGCAUCCCUUUCAUGUGCCCGAAAUUCAGCGAUCUCCUGAGGAGUUGCAGUGGACUCAUCAAUCUCCUUAAGCUCCUUGUCAAGGACAUAUUCUUUGUCCUCGUAGCGGGUAAUCAUCCUGAUGUUUCUGAUCCACUCAUUGAAGUUGGAUCCAUCAAAGGUGACUUUCCCACACAAGUUCAUAAGGGUAAAGGAGCCAUUAGGAUUAGAGCCAGAAGCAUUGUUGAAAGACAUCUGAAGGAAAGAGGACAAGAUUAGUUUAGAUAUAAGAGAGUCCUUAAUAAAACACCCAAAUGUAAUAUUAAGGCUAGGAUCCAAUCACAAUAUAAUAUAACUUAGAAGAGGUAUGCCGUAAUCUAAGCUAUAUCAUAUUUGAAAGGUAGGUGAAUGACGAUUCACCAAUUUCCACCACGAAAACCGCAAUAUUUUAGUAUUAGGUUUUUGAAUGGUUCUUAGAAAUUCCUAGAUUCUUUGAGAUUCAAUGAACUUUUCAAAGGCAUGUUUCAAUCUCGAGUGUGCCCUCCAAGUUUUGUGACUGGGAUACCGAGGAUCACAAAACGAGGUGUGAAGUAACCAUGCAAAUCACUUGGUACCCUUAAAGUUUAUCACUCAAUCGAUGUGCCGGUUAACCACACACGCUCCAUCGAUACUAUAAUAAACCCUAAGUCACCCUUUACCUACCUUGUUAAGUCCAAGUUAGUGUGCCGGUUAACCACACACGCUCCACCAACGACUUAAUCAAAGUGUAAAGUGUAAUUUCAUGGAAUAGCACCUUAUUCACAUUUUUCCUAAAGUAACUAAGAUUGGGAAUUUAAUAAAACAUUUAGUUACUUUAUAAUAUUCAUCAUACUUUGAAUGAGAAUUAAUAAGUCCUUGUCUUACCCGUUCGGCUAACGACCCUCCACCGAUCAAGCAAGCGGUGGGUGAGAGUGGACACCCAUUAAGUCACCAUUUUAUAGGCAACAACCUUAUACCCACCUUAUAGACCGGCUUCGUGAAUGAGGCGUACUAGCGGUAAGACGACUUUGUUCUUAUACAUAUAUAUAUAAUUAUUAAAUCAUAAUAAUAUAAGUAUAAGGGUUGAAUUUUAACUUUUAAAAUUCUAGGGGUUGGAACUAAAGUUUUAACUUAACUUUACUUGUUCCAAAACUUGAGGGCAAGUUUUGUAAACUUUCAAAACUUUUCAUUUCUUGUAACUUAUGAGUUUAAUAGAGUAAUAAAAUGAGGACUUUUCAUUUUUCCUAACUCUUGUGUUCUUUUAAUGGUUUUUAAUCCAAGAGACUUUUGGUUUUCCAUAACUUGAGGACAAGUUAUGGACUCCAUUAAAACACAUUAUGAUCAUGAAUUAAUCUACCACAUAGGUUACAAAUAAUUCCUAUGAUCAUCUAAACAUCAUAAGAACAAGAAUAUGAAUAUGAACACUUUCAAGAAUCAAAAUCACAUUUAAUCUUUGUAAUUUUGAUAACUAGUUGUUGUAAAUGAGUUAGAAAAGACAUUACACCUUCUAAAAUAAGUUUUCAAGUACCAAAACAUUUUAGGGUAAUGAUUCUAAUCCAUUUCCAGCAACUCAAGUCGAAAUUCUGCACUCUGUCGACCCUACUCGCCGAGUGCAUAAACCUACUCGCCGAGUAGGUUGAAGAUACACAUGAACUCGACGAGUCCUCCCCAUGGACUCGCCGAGUCCAUCAGUCAGACAGCAAGAUUUUCGACUUUCUUCAACUUUUAAGCACAAAUAACAAACAAACAAGCCUAGGCUCUGAUACCACUGAUGGGUUUUGAGCAUUCUAACACUUCCUAAGUGUACAUGCAACCCUAAUAACCUUGGAUCUAUGUUUGUCUAAUUAUCAUGCAAAGUUGAAUUCCAAGGUUAUAUUCCUAUCUAGCAUACAUGGGGAACAAUUUUUAACUUGAAUGAAAGAUAGAAUAACUUACCUUGUUGUUGCUUAUGUUCCUUGAAACCUUGUGAGCCUAGCACCCCAAGUGUGAUGCCUCAAAUGCUUCACACAACACCAAAUGCUCUUGGAAAGACUCUUGAGAUAACACACACUUCUCAAAAUCGGCCAAGCCCUCUAGUUUCUUAGUGUAGCCGAUUUUGGUGGAGAAUGGGGACCUUAUAUAGUGUUGACACAUCUAGGGUUACACCAUGUAAACCCUAAUGUGUCAUGACUCUUCAUUUCCAUGACCCAUGGGUUUGUAACUCCCAUGGAGCAUCCAUGGAGCAUCCUAUGGGUGGAACCCAACUUGAUAAUCCAUGGAGCCUCUUAGUCCACUAUACAAGAUAUGGAUGAUUUACAUAAUCAACCCAUAUAUUUAAUUAGUUAUCUUUUGAUUACUUAAUUAAUUCUAAAUUAAUUCUUAAUCAAACUAAUCAAAUAAUAUUAUCAAUAUAUUAGAACUUAUAAUAUAUUAAUUAACUCCAAGUGUUAUUUCUCUUAUUUAGUCUAUCCAAUUGCAUGGUGUCAUGCAACCCAAAUGGACUAUGCCAGGUCGGGUCAAGUACUUCCCAGAAAUAGUUAUGGACUUAGACACCUUAUCCAACAGUAAGUCUAUGGGUGUAGUCGUAGCAUUCAUGGGGACGACAUAUAGUGAUACAGUGUUGUAAGGUUGCGGGUGUAGCCGUAACAUUCAUUAGGUUGGUAGAUGGCAUGAGUGCGUUGUUAGAACGCGGAAGGAACAGUAGUAACUACCAGUUCGGGUGCAGCAGUGAGGAUAUGGGAAUCCAUAGAUUGGAUUUCGGAAUUACCCAGAUAGAUUAGAUAUGGUUGAGCCAGUGAUAAGACUAUAGGAGCGCCACUAUAGUUAGGGCAUCGGGAAAGCAAUGGACUGUAUAAGAUUGCUUGUGAUAUAAGGCUACCAUCAGUUAGGAGGCAAUCAGUUUUAGCUUUGGAUUGAUGAUGACAGGAUUCGACACAUGGACCCAAUCGGUUAUAUCAGAAGGUUGUUAGAGCCACAGUGGCAUGAUAACUAGUGGCAACUAGUUCCAGGGAAGGAUUUCGUUUAGUAGUCGUGUGAGGCGACCAAGUAUGGAGUCCUUUGGCUUUGCAGCCAAGCCGGAACACAAUAUUUCAGAUGAUUGUCAAAUGAAUUGAGACUAGGUCGGCCUCGGGAGAUUUUGGAAAGUAGCCAUGCGGCAACAUAUUGCUUCAGGCAGUUCAGUGUUUGGGCAGUUUCAGCAUUUGGGCAGUGUUAAUAAUUGUGUUUUAGGUUGCAAGUUCGGACGGAAAAGCUAGUUAACUGGAGAGUGACAAGUCACUCACAGCGAGAUCAGCUGAGCCUUGGCCAAAUAUAAGUAAUCUGCAGGGAUAAGUAGGAAUGUGAUCCUGUUUUAUAUUGCGAACCUCGAGCUAUCAGAAGCUGAGUAGAUAGUUGAGGGAUAAACGGACUGGAUUCGUCGAUGAUGAUUCAGUAUGAGUGGUCUGUCAGGGAUUCAGACCAUCUCGAGACAGCAGAUUUCAGAUGGAGUAGAUGUGAUCUUGUUGCGAGGAAUUUGUUCAUCUGCAAAUUUUAGGGUUCUACGAAGAUUGGUCACGGCUACCCUGGGGUGUGACCAGGAUGGUGACCAUGUCACUAGAGUGGUUGGGCAUGUAAGGAAUGAUAAGGGAUGAUUUCGAGGAUGAAAGCUAAUUUAAGUGGGGGAGAGUUGUAACACCCUGUUUAUUUAAUAAAUAAAUAAUCAAAUUAAUGAAUGAGUAGUAGCCCUAAAAUUUAUAAUUAUAUAGCAAGGUGUUGGUCUCGAGGAGUUAAUUGUCAUGAUUUUAGAGAUUGGGGUUAAAAGUGUAAGUUUCGGACUGGUUUUGUAAUUAAUUACUAAGGCAGGGACUGCUUGAUAAAUUAUCAGGAUUUAAUUUGAAUAGAUUUUGGGAAACAAGGGCUAAAUGGUAAAUUCCAUAUUCAAUUUGUAAAGUUUUCUGAGGGCAGGGGCUAUUUGGUAAGUUUUGGGACUUAUUAUGAAAAGAUUUAUGGAAAUAAGGGCUAAGGAGUAAAUUCUAGACUUCAUUUGAAAAUAAUUGUUUAGGGAGGGGCUACUUGGUAAAAUGUUUGACUUAAUUUGAAGAGGUUUUAGAUGGUUGGGGUUAAAAGGGUAACUUAUGGAUUUAUUUUCAAAGAAAAUAGGGAAUGAGGGAUUGAAUAUGUUAUUAUGGAAUUAAGUUCAUGGGGGUUCAAGGUAUAUAACCCGUCACCCCCCAGUCCAACCCUAACCUUAACUGUUGAGUGCAGCUGCCAUUACCGGAGGUCGUCCAGUCGCCACCAUCUCCACCGCAGCUGGACGUCGGUGUUGUCGGGAAGAACCUCUAAGUCUGACGUUGCUUUUGGGAAGGACCGGUUGGAGGGUUGCGGUUGGGUCUCGACAUUGUAGCCGCCGCCAUGCGAUAGUUUCAACAAGUGUGCUGCCUCCACCUCCGUAUCUUCAAUCUCCGGUGGCAACACAAAUGUUGAGGAGGUCACGAAUCAACCACCACGGAGGUUGUAGCUGUUCUAAACGGCAAACCUUUGUCUUCCUCUUCUAUUUAUCCCACUGCCUGCCACCGCAAGGGUGGAGGUGGUUAGAUACAGUCCGGCGUGCACUCGCGUAUGUUGAUCUGUCACCGGGCAGAAGACCAAUAGAAACCGUCGCCACCACCGUGAGGUGGUGGCUGUUAUCGCAAACUGUUGUCGUUUCCGCCAUAUAGCUUCCUUCUACCGCCUUCUGCCGGAUCUUGACACCACCAACCUUUGCUACGAGUUAUGUUUGGGUAUGUAUUUGAUCAGAUCUGUUGCGUUCGGUUUUCAUUAGAUUGUUGCGGUUUGUUUAGCCAGAAAGCCACCACCACCACCAAGAGGUGGUGGUUCCCACCAUCUACCAUCACUGGCCACCACAAGGUAGUUGUGUGUGUGUGUGUUUAUAAUUUUUAGUGUGUGUUUAUUUUAUAAAUAUACAUUGUAAAUUCUAAAAAAAUGGAAUAAUGGAAAGAAACUCAAAACCACCACCGUGAGGUGGUGGCUGUUAUCGCAAACUGUUGCCGUUGCCGCCAUAUAGCUUUCUUCUACCGCCUUAUGCCGGAUCUUGACACCACCAACCUUUGCUACGAGUUAUGUUUGGGUAUGUAUUCAAUCAGAUCUGUUGCCUUCGGUUUUCAUUAGGUUGUUAUGGUUUGUUUAGCCGAAAAGCCACCACCACCACCAUGAGGUGGUGGCUGCCACCAUCUACCAUCAUUGGCCACCACAAGGUAGCUGUGUGUGUGUUUAUAAUUUUUAGUAUGUGUUUAUUUUAUAAAUAUGCAUUAUAAAUUGUAAAAAAAAUGGAAUAAUGGAAAGAAACUCAAAACCACCACCGUGAGGUGGUGGCGGCCGCCACCGGCCGCCGUGUCGGGUGGCGGUGUGCUUUGCCUUGUCAUGUUUGAUUCGGUUGGGAUGCUGAAACCCUAAUGGGCCCAAUAAAGCCCUGAUGGGCUUAGUGAAACCCUAAUGGGCAUAGUGAAAUAAUAAUGGGCCUAAUGAACCCUAAUUGGUCAAAGGACCUAGCUAUUGGGCCUAUUGGGCUAAGAUGGGUGGGAAACCCUAAUUAGGGUUUGGAAAACCCUAAUGCCAUGAAACCCUAAAUUGGGACUUAUCGGGACCGCAUCAGAAUUAUUUAAUGAACUUAAAAUAUUAAUUAAUAAUCAUUGCAAAUUAAGUUAAGGCCAUGUGGGACUUAAUGGAUUAAGUCCUUAGUGGGUUAAGUAGGAAAACUUUACCUUAAUCAUCAUUUUAUGUGAAAACCCUAAUUUCACUUGGGCCUUGAGGUGGGCCUUUCCAUUAGGCUUUGGUAAUUGGAUUAUUAAUAGGUCAUCCAAGAAUAAUCAUAUAGACUAGAAUAUGUUGAUAGGCUUAGGGUAAGGCCCAUAUGAGGAUUUGGGCCUAAUUUGGAAAAUUGGGCCAUAGAUGGGCCAUAGUUUGGGCCUUAAUGAUUAUAUGAUAUUAGGCCAUUAGAAUGUCAAAUGUUGGACUGGAAUAAAUGGUUGGGCCUUAGAGUGAGACCAUGUAAAGGUUUGGGCGCAAUUUGGAAAAUUUGGUCAUAUGUUGGGCUUUGAUUCAUAUUUUAAUUUUUGGGCCUUUGGAUUGGGCCUUGAGUUGAAUCACGCUAAGAUAGGGGUAAAGUAGUCUUGUACCCCAAGCUUGGACUUAUGAUUGUUGUGUUGGAACCCAAUUAUUAAUUGGGUGAUGUUUUGAUAUUGACAGUUCGGGAAUCUGUCAUCCAGAAGCUGGGAUUGUGUCUACGACACUUCAGCAGUGUGAGGUGAGUUACCUUCCAGUAGAAGUGGGUCUAAGGCACCAAUGUCGGCCCACUAGUAGGAGUUGUUUUUAUAGGAUUGUCUUUUUGAUAAUUGUCUAUGUUUGCUACUACAUGUUAUGUUUAUGUACUAGUGUGAUAUGAUGUUAUGUGAUAGUGGUAGUAAGGGGUGAAAUAGUCCUCAGUUACCGAUUGACGGGACCGAAGGGGUAGGCCAGCACCCAGAUAUGCUAGGCAAUAUGUAAUUUAUGUGUUUUUGUUGUGCUUUUAUGUGGUAGUGGUAGGGGUGAAAUAAUCCCCGAUUACCGGUUGAAAGAUACCGAAGGGGAGGCAAGCUCCCAGUUACCGGUUGAAAGAUAACGAAGGGGUAGGCCGGGCACCCAAAUAUGCCUAACAUUGGGUAGGUCGGGCAACCCAAUAUGCCUGACAGUAGGGUAGGUUGAGCACCCUGCUAAGCUCAGCAGGGUAGGUCGGGCACCCAUAUAUGCCUAGCAAUAUGUGAUUGUAUGGUAUGUGGUAUGAUGGGGGAACUCACUAAGCUUUGUGCUUACGGUUUUCAGUUUUGGUUUCAGGUACUUCGUUUUCAAAGGAAAGGAGCCGGAUUGAUCGCAGCGCAUCGCACUAUGUUUUCCACACAUGAGAUCUUUGGGAUUACACUCUGAUAUGGUUUAUGAUAUUAUGUUUUGAUUAUUGACACUUUUGUUUUGACAUGAGAUAUUAUUAUGAAUGUUUUUAUACUGAUGGUUUUAUGUUAUAACGUAAUUAAAAUGAAAUUUUUGGCCUGUAUUUUUUGGAUGUUACAAAAUACCUCAUGCAUGGACGUCAAGUUUGGAACUUUACAUAUAAUAUGGACCCUAGGAGGUCAGAUCUAUGGUUUGUAUGCAUUAAGGCCGAUUAAAAUCGACUGUAUAGUUUUGGACAAAGAGGGAAUCGGCGAGUCGCUUAAGCCACUCGGCGAGUCGGGUAACAGUUUCCCCCCAAACGUCUUCUGGAAAUGGUCUUUGGUUGAGUUGAAGGAAAACUCAGCCUGUUGGGGUUUGUUAUGGAUUUGAAGAUCGAAGGACUCGACGAGUUCAAGGCAAUAUCCCAACCACAUGAAGUCGGACUCGACAAGUUCAAGGAGAACUCGACGAGUCAUAGACUAAGCACCUUCAUACGGAUGAAGAUGAACUCGACGAGUUCAAGGAUGAACUCAGCGACUCAGUUGAAGAAGGUCCCAAUGUUUUAUGGAAGGAGAACUCGUCGAGCUCUUGCUAGACUCGACAAGUAGGGACGGGGUUGUAGCAUUUUGUGGACGUGGAGACUCAACGAGUUGGUGAACCAACUCGGCGAGUCUAAUAAACCAGAUGUUGACUUUGACCAAGGUUUUGUCCUUGACUUUGCCUUGGACUUGAGUUGACCCUUGUAGGGGUUAUGAGUAUGAAAUGGUAAUGUAUAAAGGAUGUUGUGUAGGGAUUGAGGAGUCGAGAAGAGUUUAUUUCCAUACCGAGGAUAGUUCAGACACUACACGACAUUGAGGUGAGUUACCUUCCAGUAGAGGUGGGUUUAUGGCCACAAUGCCGGCCCACCAGCAGGGAAUGUCUUUAGAUGAUUGCAUGGUUCUAAAUGGCGUGAGGCGUGGCGUGGCGGCAAGGUCAAGCCUCAAGCUUAACGAGCCAUGGCAAGCCAUGGCGUUUUUCAAGGCGUGAUGUAAGGCGGCGAUUUUGUAUUAAUUUAAAAUUAUAUUACCACAUAAAUAUAAAUUUAUAUUAAAUAUAACUACUUUUUAGAAGUGUUAGAUCAAUAACAAGUAACAAAAAUUUAACGAAAACCACAAUACUUGUAUCUCGGAUUAGAAAAGACAUAGCAAAGAGCAAAAAACCGUGUCUCAAACGAAAAAACACGCGCCAUAACACGCCAUAACGCGCCAUGGCACGCCAUAUCAUGCCUUGCCACGCGCCACGCCUAAUAGCACCGUUAUGAGGCUUUUCGUAACGACGGAGCCACGCCUCACGCCAUAGCGCGCCUUGGCGCGCCUUUUAGAACACUGGAUGAUUGUCUUUGUGAUAAUUUUCUAGGGUUGCUACUACCUUAUGUGUUCUAUGUGCUAGUAUGUUAUGUGAUAUGCGAUAAUGGUAGUAGGAGGGGAAUAGUCCCCCCGAUUCGGUCAUUAAGACCGAAGGGUAGGUCGGACACCCCAUAUAUGUCUGGCAGCAUGAUUAUGAUAUGUUAUUAUGUGAUAGUGGUAGGGUGAAAUAGUCCCCGUGACCAGUUAAGGUAGACUAGAGGGUAUACAGGCACCCUAGAACGGCCUGACAUGGGUAGGCCAGCACCCCAGAAUGGCUUGACAUGGGUAAGUUAGCACCCUAGAAUGGCUUGACAUGGGUAGGUCGGGCACCCCGAAAUUGCCCGACAGUAUCUAUGAUUGUAUGGUAUGUGGUAUGAUGGGGGAACUCACUAUGCUUUGUGCUUACGGUUUUCAGUUUUGAUUUCAGGUACCUAUUCGUCUAAGGGGAAAGAGCCGGAAGGGUAGCAGCGCAUCGCACACGCAUGAUUCCGCAUUUGAGAUUUCUGAGAUUUUACUCUGACAUUAUUACUAUUUGACCAUAUGGUUUUGAGACAUGUAACUCUGGUUUACGAAUUAAUAUGAAACUAGAUAUGUUUUCCUCAAACAAAUUUUAUAAGCAGUGUAAUUAAAACCAAAAGUUUUGGUCUUAAUUUUUGGGAUAUUACAGCGUUGGUCCGAGAUCAACUCCCGACCAAUCUGCUUACAGAGUUGUUUGUAGUCUCCAGUUGAUUAAUCAUGAAGGAAUCGUUAACCCACACAAUUGAUUUUUUUUUGAACCGGCAAAUCUAAUCUACUCCUAAGCUAACAACACCUAUUUCACCUAGGUCCACGACAGGACUUGAACCCUCGACCUCAAAGAGGGAGGGCACCACCUGAUACCGCUGGGCUACAAGCCCUUUGGUACCCACACAAAUGAUGGAAGGUGAACCUGAGGGCGUAAUAGUAAGCAUUCUUAUUUUCUUGUCAUAUACUCAUAUUUUAUACAAUUGAAAAAUAUAGCUCUACGGUAAUUUAUUUUGUUACGUGAUUAUAUUUGUGACAACAUAAAACCAUUGAUAGUGUUCUCGAAAGAGGUCCUAUGACCAUUUAGCCCUUGGUGUUGUUGCAAUGGUGGUACUGAUUUAGCAAAACAUCAAUUUUUAUAUGGAAGAAAGGUAGAAGAGUAGGUGGGUUUUUGUUGACUUUUGGUGAAGAAGAGGAGAUGUGAAAUAGAUGACCUGCUAAUUGGAUAUGCUGAAAGGGCUAUUGCCAAUAUUUAAUGCAAAAAUCAUGGCCAGAGUGACAAAAUAAAUAAGGGAUAAUGACUUGUAAGGGUAACGAACUUUCGACUUCGUUCACAUUUAGUCACUAAACUUUUUUUCGUUAUCUAUUUGCCACUGAACUAUUGAAACUGUACACAUUUUACCCUUAUGACCGGUUGUUGCCGGUCAUAAGGGUAAAAUGUGUACAGUUUCAAUAGUUCAGUGGCAAAUAGAUCAUGAAAAAAAGUUUAGUGACUAAAUAUGAACAAAAUCGAAAGUUCCUUUCCCUCUAAAAAAGUUCAAUGACUAAAUGUGAACAAACUUCCUCUUGUAUUAUGUUUUAGCAAAUUAUUUAUUUUUGUUAAAUUCUAGUAACAUUUGUUGAUAAAGAAAUCUACGAAAAAACGAAACCGAAAAAAAAAAACAAUGGUUUUGUAUUUUCCAAAAUAAAAAAUCAAAAUUUCCAAUCCGGUUUUGGUUUUACAAAACAACUAAUCAUUCUAACUCAUGUGAAUUAUGAUCAUUGGUUUGACAUGUGGAAUUAAAGAACACACAAAGAACACGGUGAUUUGGGUGUUUAAUAGAUGCAUUUGAUUAUAAAAGGUGUUUACAAAAAAAGAUCUAGAUCUAAAUAUACAUAAUUAACACACACUAACACUCUCAAUGUUACAUCUCUCAAGCACACCUCUACAUGUGGUAUGAACCCACCUUAUAUAGAUGUCUUUACAUCUCUCUCACUCUCUCUCUCUCUCUCUCUCUCUCUCUAUAUAUAUAUAUAUAUAUAUAUAUAUAUAUCAUGUCACAUGGCUACUUUACCACAUGCAAGUGAGUCUACAAAAGUCAAACCAUUUACAAAGUCAUACAUGGAUAACUUUGUACCCAACAUUCUCCCCCUCAAAGUUAGGAAUGGAUGACCGGCUUCAAAUCUUCCAAACUCGAGCAACUUCACGAAUCGAGCCUCAAACGUGAUACAUGUAGAGAUGAACAUCAAAUCAUUAAUUCUUCCAUGACUUUUCAAUCUGGGUUAUAGAAUGUGAGACCAUACAAACCGAGCAUCAAAAGGUAAUUAAGAGUUUCUCAUUCUCUAAAAAAUUACCCAAAAUUUGAGCAUUUAUGCACACUCCAAAAAUCUUCAAUAAGUCUAAACCCAUCAUGAACCGAAAUCACUUCCGAAUCUCUAGUCGAAUCAUUUCAUAAACUUCAAAUACUCUGAGGUCACUUCGGUCUUCAAGUUAGCAUAAUAUGAAAAAUUCAACUUUCGAAUUUUCAUAUCUAAAUCUCUCAUCCUUUUUAUAAUCGAAAAAUGAUUAUAAACUUUCUUCAUCAACAAAUGUUGCUAGAAUUUAACAAAAAGUAAAUAAUUUGUUAAAACAUAAUACAAGAGGAAGUUUUUCACAUUUAGUCAUUGAACUUUUUUAGAGGGUAACAAACUUUCGAUUUUGUUCAUAUUUAGUCACUAAACUUUUUUUCAUUAUCUAUUUGCCACUGAACUAUUGAAACUGUACACAUUUUACCCUUAUGACCGGCAACGACCGGUCAUAAGGGUAAAAUAUGUACAGUUUCAAUAGUUCAGUGGCAAAUAGAUAACGAAAAAAAGUUUAGUGACUAAAUGUGAACAAAAUCGAAAGUUUGUUACCCUUACAAGUCAUUAUCCCAAUAAAUAAAUAAGUGGCUUUUUCCAACCCAAUGUAUAAAAUAUAUGAUUUUUUAGUAUUUGCUCUAUUUAAUUAUUUGACAAUUUACAAUAUUUGAUUUCGUCGAGUUGAGCGUAAGGCUGUAAAUGAACCGGAUGUUCGACAAACCGUUUAACGGGAAAUUUAUUUAUGUUCGUUUAUUAAAUAAAUAAACGAAAAUGAGCACCAAUUAUCGUUCGUUUAGUUAAACGAAUGAACAUCAACAAUUGUCAUGUUUGUUUAUUUUUGUUCAUGAACGUUCAUUUAUGUUCGUUCGUUUAAGUUUAUUUAUGUUUAUAUAUGUUCAAUUGUUUUUUAUUAUAUUACUAUAUAAUAUGUUUAUUUAUGUUCAUAUAUAUAUUCAAUUGUGUUUAUUUAUUUUUGUUCGUUUAGCAUGUUCACGAACAUAAACACUGUAAUUUGUUAAAUGAACAAACAUGAACAACAAAACAUGUUCGUUUACUCGUUCAUGUUCAUUUGUUUAUCCGACUAACUUAAACAAACAAACAUGAACAACCUUUGUUCGUGUUUGUUCGAUUCGUUUACAAUCCUAAUUAAAGUAAAUAAAUUUCCUUUAAAUUUUCUUUUUGUAUUAUUUGUUAAUUUUUUCCAAUAACUGAUACCUAACAAUUGCUUGCAUGCUACUGGAUAUUAUUAUUGGUGCAUCCUUAUAUGAUUUAUGUUUUUGGUGCAUGCUUGUACUUUUGUGUACUCGGUGCACAAUUAUUAUUUCAUUCUCAAUAUCAUUUGUACAACUUAAAGAUAUUUUCACUUGCUAUCAUAUUUUAUUAUUUAUUUCGCAUGUCUUUAUUUUUUUGGAAACGGCAGACGAUUUAUCAAAAGUCUCACCACAAUAUUUUAAUGGUGACCCCGAGUUCGAGCUUCUUUACAGGACAAAUUCAGCCCCCAAAAAGAUUUACAGGGAAAACUUCACAGACAUGAGGCAUAACUAAAAGAAGCAAAUUUAACAGGUUCAAAAAUUUGAACUUCUGACCUGAAACCCAUGUGGGUAUCAAACCAAUCCGGCUAGGUUAGACAUCACUUGCAUUUCUUUCGCUUGGUGGUAAGGAUGUCUAAGAGGGGUGAAAUUCUUCUAUUUUCACUCGGCCCCAAUUUGGGAGACUAUGAUUUCUUCUACUUUCCUUUCCUUGAAUUUCAAGACCACUCCCGACCCCGCCCAAUUUAUUUCUUUAGAUUGGUGGAAUGGUAGUAGGGAUGUCUUAGGCAUUUGUUUCUUUCAUUUAUUUGUUUUUGGUGUUGUUGUUGAUGCAAUUACACUGGUUUUUGAGAUUUUUUUAUUUAAGUUGCUUAUUAGUUUAUACUAUAAACAUAUUUUAGUGUUUGGAUAAACAAAGAUUAUAAGUUAUUAUUAGGUAAAAUAAGGAAUUUUUCAGUAGAGUCUAAUUACUUAUUUACCACUAAUAUUCCAUAUACUAGGCGAAUCCCCGUGCGUUGCGCGAGAAUAAAAUUAUAUAGUUAAAAUAAUAGCUUUUACCAAAUUAUUAUUUAAUAUUUCUACUUUGAAACAAAAUGUUGGUAGUAAAGCAAACAUAUAGUUACCAUAUUAGUUUUAUUAAACAUUAUACUUUAAUUUCUGAGUCAUUGUGAUAUAUACAACUAUUUGAUAAUUUUAUAAACCGUUUAAAAUUGUGUAAAUUAUAUAUCAAAUGAAUGAUAAUAUAACGGAUAACAAAACGUAUGAACAAAAAUAUGAACUGCAACUUUUAAAAAUAUAAAAAUAGAAAAACAUCUAUUAUAACAAUUGUAUUAUAUAUAUAUAUAUAUAUAUAUAUAUAUAUAUAUNNNNNNNNNNNNNNNNNNNNNNNNNNNNNNNNNNNNNNNNNNNNNNNNNNNNNNNNNNNNNNNNNNNNNNNNNNNNNNNNNNNNNNNNNNNNNNNNNNNNNNNNNNNNNNNNNNNNNNNNNNNNNNNNNNNNNNNNNNNNNNNNNNNNNNNNNNNNNNNNNNNNNNNNNNNNUUAUUAUUAUUAUUAUUAUUAUUAUUAUUAUUAUUAUUAUUAUUAUUAUAUUUGUCUAAAUAAUUGGUUUUGAUGCAUCAUUUUAAUCCCUUCAAUUAUUAAACAUAAAGAUAUUUAAUUAUAAAUUUAUAACAUACAUAGGUGCAUAUACAUGUUAAACAAAUCACAUAUAAUAUAUAUAUUUUCGUAAAUGUCAUAUGUAAUUCUUGUCGUAGUAAUAUGGAUAAAUUACUUUCAUAUGAAGAACAUAUCAUGAUAAGUCUAUCAUAAUUAUAUAUCAAGUGUUAAAAAUUAUGUUAUCUUUUAAAUAUUGUCUUUUAAAUAUGUUGUGUAGGAUAACCCAACAAAAAAAAUAGAAAAUAAACAUAAUCAGAAUAGAAAAACUACAAUCAAAUAAAUAAGAGCAUUGGGUGGUUGAAUAUAUAAAUAAAGAUGUUACAUAAACAUACAUUUAAAUCAAAAGAAAAAACUAAUAUUCAUCAAUUUUGCUCAAACAAAAAAAAACCUAUAUUCGUUUUCUAAAUCUUCUUUCUUCAUUUAACAUCAUUCAACCAUAGAAACUUGAUGCCAAUUCUUCACUAACCUGCAAUCAAAAUAUUUUUCUUGAAAAAGAAGAAUCAGAAAGAUAUUUAAAAAAAAACAUUGAUGUUUGGAGAGUCACAUUCAAGAUUGAGUAAUACAUACAAAUCACAUAUAACGAUUAAAUGAAAAACUGAAUAUAAAGAAAGAAUAGAAAAGCUUCAUUUUUUUUUUUGGUUGAAAGAUAUUCAAAGCAAAACAUUGAUGUUAUGACAUCCUUCUUACAUGUAAGAUUUUAUAUAACACAAAAGACAUAAAAGAUUGACAUUUUUAUAGUAAACUUUUCACUAAAUGUUAAUUAAACAUAAUAUAAAUUAUAAAACUUUUGAGUGUUAAAUCAUAAUUAAGAAAACUUUUGAGUUGUAUUAGUUAAAAAAUGGGGUUUCAAAUGAAUGUGGUUUGAGGAAGUUAAAAAAUAGGGGUUUCAAAUGCAUGAAAUUCAAGAAAAAAUGUUAGCUUUAUAAGUAUGUAUGAUAUCAUUGAAGAGUUGUUUGCUUUCCAUAUAAAUGAGGGGAUUUUACACAACAUUUUAGAAAAAACUUCAUUUUGACAUCAUAAAUGAUUAAUUUACUAUAUAGUUUUCUUACAAUUAAGCCCAAAAUAACGACAACAGUUUACAAUUAAGUCCUAAAAAUCGGCAACGUGAGGUUUUUACUCCGGUAAACUAAUAAUUUUUAGGUUUUGUCUCGGUAAACAAGUCACCAACCGAAUAUUUCAUGUUUUUUUCACAUAUAUGAUCAAUGUUUAGGGGUUUAAACUAACUAUUUUUUAAUAUUUUAUAUUAGAGUAACUAAGUACACAUUUUUCUUUGUACUAACUUAAAUUUUGAUUACAUUUUGGAAAAACACUAGUACUCAGUUGGUAACCGAUUAUCAAGAUAAAAACCCAAAAUUGUAAACGGUUGUCAAUUUUUUGGACUUAAAUAGUAAACAAUUCUCGGAUUUGGGAAUUUAAUUGUAAACAAUUGCUAAUUUUUUGGGCUUAAAUGCAAGACCAAAAAUUUAAGGUUUUGUUUUAAUCAAUUAUGAGAACAAAACAUAAGGAUUUUCCAGAUGUUUUCCCAAUAUUUUAAAUAAAUAAAGAUAAAUCAGUUAAAAUAAAUAAAUAAUUAUUUAAAGAUGUUAACUAUUAGAGACUAGUUCACAUACAAGUUAAAGGCAAUGAAACGAUAAAAUAACAAUAAGUUUUAGUUUUUUUUUUUUUUUUUUUUUUUUUUUUUUUUUUUAAANNNNNNNNNNNNNNNNNNNNNNNNNNNNNNNNNNNNNNNNNNNNNNNNNNNNNNNNNNNNNNNNNNNNNNNNNNNNNNNNNNNNNNNNNNNNNNNNNNNNNNNNNNNNNNNNNNNNNNNNNNUUUUUUUUUUUUUUUUUUUUUUUUUUUUUUUUUUUGAAACGAUUGAUAGAAAAUGUCAAGAUUAGCAAGAAGAUAGCCGGCACGAGAGUAACAAUACAAGAAUUAAGAAAAGAACAUUUACAGAGACAUAGAAAGGAAAGAUGCUCCACUCCACCCAUUUAAUUCCUUUUUACCCUCCCAUAUCUAUGUUUUAACCACACAAAUCCCAAAGACAUAAUAUUAUCUGCCACCAAAGUAGGGGAUGUAGUACGUUGUUUAAACAUCCGAUCAUUCCUUGUUUUUCAAGUUAGCCAUAGCAUCCUAUAGCAUAUUACAGUCAACAAUUUCCUUUUCUUUAGACAUCUCCCCCAGGUAGCGGUGAAUUUGAGCAAUUCACUAACAUUGUUGAAUGACAUAUUUUCAAUGUCACACCACUUGAAAAUCCAUUCUCGUGUGGUAUUCACAAAACUAAAUCUAGUCAAGAUGUGAUCAAUAUACUCGUUUUCUCUAUUACAAUGUCCACAGGAUAUUGUGUCCAAGUUCAUACCACGCUGAAGUAAGGCCAAUAAUUUUUAGUUAUAAUAUAGUUUUACCACUGAUCUACUAUAACUUUGUGAUUACUUAUUUUAUAUUAAUAUUGAAAUGAUAAGUUGUUUACCAUCGAUAUACAACUUCCUGAUUACUUAUUUUACAUUAGGUAAUAUUUUUUGAACGGCUUUAUAAUUUAUCAGUUUGGUUAAAAUUUCUUGAAACAGCACCAGGCAAACUUUUUUUGUUGGGUGAGUGGUUGGCGCAAAAGAACUAAACACAUGUUUUUAACUCCAAAUUUUCUUCCAAAGCAUUUAAAGGUUUGUACUUUGUACGGUUUUGGUUAUAACAUCAAGUAAAAGAAACAUAGAUUGAUGCUAACUCUCUCUUUUGUACUCCAUCGCCAAACCAAAAAAAAGUAUUUCAGAUUAUUGUCCCUUUUCAUUUUGAAAAGGAGCCGAUAACAUAUUUUUUUUUCUCCAAGUGAAAAGAAUGAAUGAGAGUGAAGGAAACAUAGAGGUUGUUUAUUUUAUUUUUAUUAUAAAAAAAAUAAAUAAAAAGGAACACAAGCUAUAUUUUUGAGACGUAAUUUCUUAAUCUUAAGUGUUCUUCUUCCCAUUGGUGAUUGGCUCUCCAAAAAAAAUAUUAAAAAAAGUAAAAAUAAAAAUAAAACAAACUUGGUGGCCUAGGCUGCUCAGAAGGCUCGAGCCUUUUAACCUUUUCAUAUUGGCAUGUGUUGUUUUUUGAUAGGUGCAUUUAAAGUUAUUUUUAUAUUUAAAACCAUUUAAGUUAAUAACUAUAUUUAAUAUUUGGUAAAACUCAAACAAACUAUCCGAAAUAUAUAAUUUAUUUUUCUCUAUAAAAUAAAACAAAUAUCGAUUUUAUAUUUUUCUAGUAUAAAAUAAGGUUGGAUUGGGUUGACUUGUUAAUGAGUAUGAAUAAUUGGAUUGGAUUGAAUUGUAUAUAUGAAAAAGAAAGAAAUUAUUUUUUUAUAGGAUAAAUAGAUUAUGUUUGAUUGCUAACGAGGAUUGUUUUUGGUAUUUCAAGAUCGAUAUCUUAUUGGACUUUAAAUUAUUAAGUAUCUUUACUUGCUUCGAUAUCUUAGUUUGAUGUGACUAUAUUCAAAAUUAUCAUAUUGUAUAAGUGUUUGAUUAAGACCAGAGGGAGUGGGUUGUGGCCCUUGCCACACUUGAGUACCACAUCAACAGGAACACCGCCUCCUAGGUGCGGUAGAGGUGCAGUGCGACAUUCCAAGUGAGCAUUCCUUCAAACAAUGUGAUUAGUUCAUUUUACUUACCUCCAUCUGAUUGGUCUUUUUUAUUUAUUAAAACAAAAAAAAAUACCCAAAUGUGAUAUCACUCCUUGGAUGUGGUAUCAAAACACACUUUUGUUGCACCACUCCCUCCAGCCUAAUACUAUUUGUGGAGACCCAUCGGUGGCGACCCAGGGGUGUGCGGGAGGUGUAGUCGCACUCGGCCUCUGAUUUAGGGGGCUCCAUAUUUUAGGACAAAUAUGUAAUUAUGGUGUUGAUGUAUUUGUAAAAUAAAUGUUUAUGAGUUAUCAUUAAAUAAAAUUGACUAUUAGUUUCUUAUAUGCACAUUGUAGCAUUUAGUUGCAAUCUUGAAAUCAUUUGAAUUAUGAAAAAAAAAUUAAAGAAAAUAAAAAAAAAAUCAAAAUUUAAUCAUAAAUUCUAAAAUCUACCAAUAAUUUAAUGAAAUUAUCUAUAUCCAAAGACAAUAUAAAUAUGGUAAGGAUUCAAUAUUUUGGGUACAUGAUUUUUUGUAUCCAUAUUUCAUCAAGCUAUUGGUUAAUUAUAGCGAAUAUUUGAAUAAUACAACCAAUAUAAGAUACUUAUGGUUUUUUAUUCACAAAAGAAAAGUUGAAGUCACUGAAAAUCUAUGAGUUAAACGCAAGUUGUAAAAUAUUCUGAAAAUAGGUUGCAAAAUGGGAUGUUGAUAAUUUAUUCAAUGAAUUGAAAUUGUUACAAAAAUAUUUACCAAUUGAACAUAAUACAACAAACACAAUACUAAUUUUUUUUUUAAAUAGUAGCACUUAUCCAAUUUAUUGUCUACAUACAGACUAUUAAUGAUUGUUCUUAUUACAAUUGCAUUAACAAAAAUAAGCUUUUGAAAACUUAAGCUUUUAAGUCUUAUAUGCUCUCGACGAUGCAAUAAGAGAGAUCAAAUGUUUUAACUUUUAUUUUGAUUGAGAACAAGUUUUUUGAACAUAUUUAUUAUCAAAAGUAUAAUAGAUAAAUUUGCUUCUAAAAUGUUAUAAUGCGUUGACUUUUUAUCUCUUUUUUUUAGGAAAUUACUGUAGGGAAUUUACGAAAUUUUUAUUACCAAUUUUAAGUUUUGAAAUUAACAAUAAAAUUUUCUUAAUAAUAUUUUACAAUAAAUUUGUUAUUGACCUCACUUUAUUUCCGCAUAAUGUCUUCGGAACCCGAGCCUAAUUAUUGUGAGAUUGAUCCAUUCUACUUUUCCAAAAAGUUGGAAUGUCCAAGAUAGACAAAUCUUGAACAAUGUUUAUUACAUUACCUAAAAGUCUUAAGUUAUAUUAGUGGAUUAACCAUGAGUGGUGUAUUUGGUGGAUAGUGGAUACAAAGAGAAUACCAACCACUAUAUAUACUUUGUUUUCAUCUUUGUACCUUAAAUUUUACACAUUCUGUAUUUGCAUAUUGUUGUAUCUUUAUAAUUGUUAUUGGAAAAACAUAUUGUAUUCUUAAGUCACUUUGUAUUUUAUUGUUAUAUAAAUCAAAGUAAUGUAUUAUCUUUAUAAACUUUUUUUUGUUAAAAUUGUUUAAAAUUGCUAUUUGCUCCAUACCCCUAGAUGCACUGACAUGCCUUAUACAACACAAUAGAAAGUAUUUUGCAUGCUUUGUGCUUUUUCCGGGAAGAGUUCACCAAUUAAGUCAUUAAUUGGGCUUGGAGGCAUAACAAGCAUCAUUUGAGGUUAAACAUUGUUUAAGUGAUUUAAAACUUGAAAAAUCACUCCACACCAACUCAACAAGAUAAGUAGAAGUUCGCUAUUUAGGAAAGAAUUAUUUAAAUAACAACCAUGCUAUUAAAAAUCAUCAAUAAAGCUCAAUGACAACAUGACAACAAUGUAAACAUAAUGCCAUGCGUGAUAGCCUAUACAUCCAACUCCCAAGUCACCAAAAGUUCAAUGCACCUCACAAUAAUAACCAUAGAGAAAGUUAUCACAUAACAAAUAGCAAACACUCGUAACACUAUGAUAUGCAUUGAUUCAAGAACGUUUUUCAUACAAAAAAAAUCAUGGAAAAAGGACCAAUUUUUACAUCAUAGGCGUCGACUGAACAUAUGUAGUGUUCACAAUCUUUCGAAGAGAACAACUUGUGUAAUCUCUUAAACAUAGAUACAACAAACACAGAAUUCACAGUAGCAUUCGGUUGACUGUUGACAAAUCAUCGAGUCGUUGAAACCCCAUCAUCAUCAUCAUCACCAUUAAUGGCUCGAACUUUGUGGCAAACGAAACGAACCACCAGCAUAGAGCAUUUGGUAAACGGGUCUAAUCCUGAUAGUUAAUAUCAAACUCAAGAUGGUCCCUAAACCACAAACACAAGCAAGAACAAGAAACGUGAACCGAAAACAUGCGGGGCCCAUGCACGUAGUCCCACCUUGCCUAGCUUCCUCGGUGUCAUAAAUGUAACCAGCAAGCAUACCAGAAAACAGAAGUGCCCCCAGAGGGUUCCCUAGCUGCAUAAAGUUGAAUAUCAACCCAAAGUUUUUCAAUCCAAAAAGCUCAGAAGAUGUCGAGAUCAUUAUUGCAAUUUGAACACCAUAGCACGUUCCAAGCAACGCGGUUGCAGCGUAUAAUGUGCCAUUUAGAGCCGAUGCAUAUAGAAGAUAGGUUAACACCAUUAUCACUUGUGUUGCCAUCGUCCAAAACGUACGAGGGAUCGCAUUUAACCUAACACAAAACACCCAAAUUUUGUAACAAUGUAAUUUACAAAACAUAGUAUCAAGAAGAAAGAAUGGAUUACCUUACAAAGUAUUCUGAAACAGCACCUCCACCAAGCCGACCAAGAAAAUUGCAAAAGCUGAAAAGACUCAAGAGUGUAUUUGUAUCAUCAACACCAAGCGAAGCUCCGAUUUGAGCCAAAUUGUUGAGAACAGUGACUCCGGAGCCAACGCCAAGAAAGUAAGCAGUCCAUAGAAGCCAAAAAUCAGCCUUCACCAUGGCUUCACGAAACGAGAAGUCCUCCCCUCGUCUAGGUCUUCUUUUCUUCAUCUUCACCGCACCUUCUCCAACAGCAAGAAGCAUAUCCACAUCUGACACAUCAUCGCUGUCAUUGAAGCUCGUAAGAUUUGCAGCUGAAGAUGAAAGUGUUAACAAUGGGUCUGUUUUCGAAUCACCCUCUCCUAAUACCAAACUGUCGGAAGAUCCAGGUGGCCGGAUUAGCUUCUUGCGAGCGGGAAACAGAGUCAUUUUGAUCGGAAUUGCUAGAGGCGCGAGUAAAAAAACCACCAUAAUCGCAAUAAAUGUGUAGGAGAUGGUGUUGCUUAUGUUCAAGGUGCCUUUAAGCAUCGUUGUGGUUAAGAGAAAGAUUGCGAGUAUGAGACUUGAGCCUUGGGUGAAAAGAAAGUGGCCAUUUUCCGAUGGGUCUGCUUCAAAAGCAGGAGUACAUGGUCGAACAUAAUACAUCAAGGAUAAACAUAUAACAGGAAUCCCAAUUGUGAAAACGAGAACGAUUGCUGAAGCUGAUCCGUUUAGCAACAUGGUGCAGACUUCUGUGAAAACCGCAGCGCUUAAAGCAAUGUAACCUUUGAGAAGUCCGGCGACUGUUCCCCGACUCAGAGGGAAAUUUCUCAAGUUUGUAACGAUCACUGCUGUUCCUAACCAUGCGCUGCUGUUAGCAGCGAGUACGAGUGCUAUCCAUAACUGCAAACAAAUCAGAUUAUCGUAAUUUAAGCAACUUGUGAAAAAAAAUCUGUACGGUUUUAAAUGGUGAAGAUCACUUCAAAGUCGUUAAAUUUGAUUAACUUUUUGAUCUUGAUGAACUCUAAUUGAACUGUUAGACUAUUCAAGAUCAUGACUUUAUGUGUUUGAUUGAUCGCUAAAAUGGUGACAUGUUUGAGCAAAUCAUGUCGAUCGCGUCACCUUCGAUCCAUAAGUUCUAGCUAAUUAAUGGCGAGAUAUAAAAGGUCAUUUAGCAUAAUUAAUAGCAAUCAAACCUCAAAACUAAAUGCUUCUUGCGGAUCGUUUCUAGCAAUUCAAAUCUUGGAGGUUUCACUAGUUGAAUCAGCUUAAAAUAAGAGAAAGAUUAACUUGUGAACAAAUCCCAUUAACCGUUUUUCAGAAAGAAACAGUCCUAAAUUCGAUCAUGGAAAUGGGUAUGCAAAAAAAUUAACAAAAAUUGAAUCUUUAUGAAGAAAUACUUACAAUCCAGUAAGGCAAAUUGACUAUAGUCCGAGUGAUAGCAAGCCAGAGGACGCCAUAACCGAAGAAAGAAGAAAAAACACCGACGAGAAGCACAGCCCAUGGAGGGAAAUAAUUGCAAGCGAUGCCAGGAAGAAUCCCUGUGUUCUCGCCAAAAUCAUUAGCAACACCAAGUAUCGUAAGCUGUUGUUGAGAGAAACCCAGCACGGAUUUGAGAGAAUGAGAGUACAGAGGGAAACAGUAGGAGUUGCCGGCGCAAAUUCCGAUCCAAACCGCGGCUGCGAAGCCCACCCACGGCGGCCUGGUUCCGGCCUUGACAGCGUUCAUAGUGAAUUGGUACAAAGAAUCAAAAAAGGUAGAAAGGUGGGUAUUAAGAAUGAUGAAAGCUUUGAUGAAUCGUGAUGUAAUUAUGUACGAAUAGAGAUUGUGGUUAUGAAUGAUGUCGACAGCAUCAUUUCAAGAUCCAAUCCAACGUUCGUCCAUUUGGACACGAAGGUGACAGUUUGGCACGCUUUUAAGUUUUCAUUUGGUCGUUAGAUCUUGAAAUCGCUAGAUAUUAUUUAUAGUUUAUUACCAAUCUAAUAUAUUCAAUUACAUGGUUUGUUAUGGGUUUUUAUCAAUGAUGCUAUACAAUCAAUCCAAUUAAAAACCGGACGGAGAAUCGGAGACGAGAACGGUUCAACAACAAUCGGUUUUAUGCUAAUUUUUAGAUUAGAGCGAACCGGACGCUUUCUUAAAAAAACAGGUUGAACCGAUGUAAUAGAACCAGUAAAAAACCGUUUGAAUCUGUUUAUUAGAUAUUGAUAAUUGGAUUUCAUAUAGCCCGUUAAAUGCAUUUCCAAAGAAAAUUGGACAGUUUAAUCAAUCAGGUUAACCGGAGUAUAUACAACUUGAAAACCGACCUACAUCAUUGUCAUAUAUAUAAGACAAUUAUUGGUUUAUAUACAUAUAUGUAUGUAAGAAAAUAGAAAAUACAUAGAAAUUACUAAAUCUCUGAUAAACCUACGGUGGACAAAAAUAAUAAUCAGACCAGCUUAACUUAAAAAAAGAUUUUUAAAACAUUGAUCUAUAGACACUAUUAAAUUUGAUUUGAUUUCAAAUCGACCAGUCGAUUAAAUAAUUAUAAAUUAGCUAAGCCAAACAAUUUAUUCGUUUUGAACAAUUAUAAAUUAUCAAGUAGUAAAGUACAUAGAUAAAUAAAUAUAUAAGUAAAGGAUACUUCUUUUUGAUGUGUUUUCAACAUACAAUAUUUCUGUUUAUAAAAUUCCAAUACUCUUAAGAUAAUUAUUAACUAAUACAAAUAAGAAAAAAAGAGAAAAACUUUAAGAUUGUCAAACCUUGAAGAGUUUAGAAAGUUAAAACAUUUUAAGUCAUGAUUAUUCAUAACAUUCUUUUUGUUUUGCCUGUUACUCCUUUUGGAAAAUGAUAGUGGCAAAAGUGUAGUUAAGUUUGUUAUGUAGGGGUUAAUUGGAUGAGGAUGGGACUAUUAUGAGUGUCUAAACCGUCCCCUCAAGAACUUUAAGGUCAUAUUUGCGGUGUAAAUUGGGGGACCACGAGCCGCGGUUGAUGUUGUUGACACGGCACUUGCGAUUACGAUUGGAGUCUACUCAUUUUUAGUGUUAGGCCUCCAAAAAUUUAGUGCGAAUCGAUGAAAGUAGAAAAUCAAAUUAUCGGCUUUAGACGAUAAGUUUUCAUGAUUUUUGAUUUGAUAUGUUUCGGAACCGUCAUUGAAACCAUAUUCUUUUUAAAAUUCUUUACGUUUUUACUCGAGUUGUGGACAUAUGUUCUAAGUAGGGUGUAAUCGAGUCGAGUUGAAUCGACUGUUGUCAAGCACGAAACUCGACUCGACUAAAAACUCAGACGCGGAACUCGACUCAAGCCUAAAUAUUAAACUUGGGUUCGAGCUCGAAAAAGUAAUUGACACUCUCGAGCUCGACUCAAAUAUUUAUUAAAAAUAUAUAACUACAUUAAAUUGAAAUGGAAAUAUGAUUAAGCUUGUAAGUUCGACUCGAAUACGAUCAAUUAUGUAAAAUAUGAAUAAAGGGUAAAAGUAUAAAUAUGGCUAAGCUCGAUUAAGCUCGCAAGCUUCACGAGCCGAGUAUUUCAAGACUCGAGCACGACUCGAUAAUAUACUCGAGUAGUUUGAGCUCGACUUAAACCGAGUUGAUUUCAAGUAUUUUUCGAGUCAGUCGUGAGUAUCUCACGAGCUGGCUCGACUCAGUUACACUUAUGGUUCUAAGCCAAAGCCAAACUCAUGGUCGCUCCAUAUUAAGCCCAUGUUUGUAUCGCCAUUUUUUACAAAGUAAUAUUCGAUUUAUUAUUAUUAAUGAGAGAUGAUUAUUCACGGAAAACUCAUAAUUAUCGCGGUAUCACCCUAUGAGAGCAAAGUUACCUUCUUUUAUUCCCUCUCUAAGAUCUCAAUCAUCUUUCCUUAACCUUAGUUGUCGGCGCCCUUCGUCUUUGCAAUGCCCUUUUUGAAGCAUUCUCAUCAUUAACUUUACCAUGAUGAACUCUCCUAACCUCGAAAACCCUAUGAAACCAUCAACAUCAAAUCAUAUAUUCAUCUCAUAGUUAUUUUUGACCGCUUGAAUUAAUUAUGAUACAUGGCGAGUACUUUUCCAACUCAUUGUAUCGAAUUUGGAGUUAAAGAUCAUCUUGAAGAACCCAAUGAAAAAUCCCUUCAUACCUCUAAUAAUACUAAAUGUAUUUACAUUAAUUCCAUCGUGAAGUUGUUGAUCUACAGAACAAUUUCACAACCUAUGAUGCAUAUGAUCUUGAGAAAAGUGCAACAACUACACAAAUAUGGAAGAAUCUCGAGACACUCUUUUAUGGUAAAAAAAAAAAAAAAAAAGACGCCAAGGCCAUUCAAUUGCACAAUGAACUACAUAACAUCUUGAUUGGUGAUUAAUCCACCAUAGAAUAUUGCACAUGCAUCAAAUCGAUUAUCAACCUCCUUGGCAACAUUGAUACCACCGUUUUUUUUUUAAAAUGGCUCCAUACAUCAUCAAUUGCCUCUCUGUCAAUUCACUAUGUUGCGAGUCGUAUACAUCAUUUUUCGCCUCUUCCCUUUUUUUGGAGAGGGACAAAGGAUGAACUAAGUUAAAAAUCACUCAUUCCAAGCAUCUCAAAGUGAAUAUUCAUUGUCUCUUACCGUUCUCGCCACCAAACAGUUCAAACCAUGGUAAUUCUAAUCAUGGGGUGGCCAACUGCAAAGGUUAUUAUGGGGGUCAAAUUGAUCGAGUUGGUUGUGGUUGGUGUUUGGGGUGUCAAACCCAACAAAUAAUAGAGGUACGACAGACUCCAAAUACACUACUUUAUUGUACUAAAUAGUAGUACAAUGCAAGCAGGGUAGAACCACAGACACAUGGGAAAAAAGUCUAUACAUCUUUGCGUAAGGUACUUUGAUCACAAAAGGGGGUUUUGUUUGCAAAAGUAAAAUAAUAAAAUAACAGUCUACUUUAAAAACAUUCAGAAAAUAAAAUAAACUUGUAAACAAUUUGAUUGAAGGAUUCUAGUUCUAGUUCCCAAUGUUGUUAUUCAACUUGAUUAUGACUUGAUGUAAUUCAUGAUUGUUAUUCUAAGAUAGUACUAAAAGAUAUUAACAUGCUCUAAUACCUCUCGCUUGCUAAAUUAUCUAACCAAAACAAGCUCUUUGACUAGAGCUAGUUUUACUAAUUCAACAUAAACACGCUCUUAGAUUGUAUUGAAAAACUGCAUUAAGUUUUGUACAAUCUUCCCAACAAUGUUCAUUUCUUCUCAUACGCUCGGAAGUGUGAAAACAUGUGGUAUAUGUAUUACAAUAAGAAAACUUAUUGUUUAUUACCAAUUAUUAACUUAUUAGAACGAUUAGGUUCCCUAAAAGUUAAUUAACUACACAAAAAUUCAAUUCAUGAAAGUGGUCAAUCAAACACAAAUCAAAUUCAAGGGUUCUAGUUUAAACAAAAAUAGAAUCACUAGAAUAGAAUCACAAAUCAAACAUCAAAUCAUAUGCUUCAAGUCAAGCAAUCAACAUGUUUUGAACAAGAACUAGAAAUUAGAAUUUCUUAGCCACACAUGGCUAACAAUGAAACAUCCCAAAAAUACGGUCCAAAAAUUUCGUUUUUAAAUCAUUAUUAAAACCAUAGUUAUCAUCACCAUAGUAUAAAAUCAUAAAACAUGUAUCUCAAAAUAUCAUAAUAUUUGUCAAUCAUAUCAAAAUCUCAUAUCAAAUAUCAGAGUAAUCUACCGGGCUAGAAAAUUGUGGUGUGUGUCAUGCGAUCAUCCCGAGCCCUUCCCUUUGCUAGCUGAGGUACCUGAAACCAAACUAAAAACUGUAAGCACGAAGCUUAGUGAGAUCCCCCAAACUACCAAAUACCAUACAUUAAACACAAAAUAACAUAUAGUAUAACUUUGGGACUACUCCCAGUUGCAUCGGGACGAACCUGUCAUCGACUUACCCGACAUCGGACUCCUAUCCGGCAUCGGGCUCACCCCGGCAUCAGACCACGUCUGGCAUCGGGCCCCUCCCGAGAUCGGGUUUGCCCCAGUAUCGGGCUUACCCCGGCAUACACACUGCAUAACAUAUAUCAUAAACACAUAACAUACAUUGGGCUUGCCCCGACAUCGGACCGAAGUCUGGAACACAUAACACAUAACAUAUAAACUAGCAUAUAUCGGGCUUACCCCCGACAUCGAACCUAGGCCCGAAACACAUAACGCGUAACAUGCAUGAAUCACAAAGACAUCAAGCAUACAUAACUACUUCUCGGGACCGCCCUGGCAUCGGGCCGAAGUCAGGAACACAUACUCUACAUCGGGCUAGCCCCGGCAUCGGACCGAAGUCUGGAACAUGCUAACAUACAUAAACGGGCCAGCAAUGGUGCCUUCGACCCGUUCCUACUGAAGGAAGACUCACCUCUCAAAUUGGUUGUUGAUCUCGUGCAUGAGGAAUCUCUGUUGGCUGCUCCUACAACUCCCCGGCUAAUUCUAUACAAUAAUACUUAGUUAGAAAUUUGAAAAAUCUAUCUACGGGUAAAAUGACCAUUUUACCCCUAGUCAAAGUCAACGCUUUGGUCAAUGUCAAAAUUCUAGUCAAAGUCAACCUUCUAGGUUGACCAACUCUCCGAGUCAACCCUUCAACUCGCUGAGUUCUAUAACUCAGAAAUCCUAGAAUCGCGACUCAACUCGCUGGGUCGUUCCUACGACUUGGCGAAUCAACUUGUUGAGUCCCUCUACAAACUUGUCGAUUUCUACUAUAAACUAGAAUUGGGACAACACGACUCGACUCGUCGAGUUCUCUUAUGGACUCGACGAUUCCCUUUGUCUGUUUGGCCAUCUUAAUAGAUUAAGCCCCUAUCUUCUAGAUCCAAGGUCCUUAGUUCGUUUUCUCACUGGAAUGGCCUUUCUAAGGGUAGAUUUUCUAACUUUACCCAUUCAUAAUUCUUCUUAAAGGGUUUAGAAAAAACCCUAAUUGUCACAACUAGGAAUUUUGAUGCUUGUAACAACAACAAUGACAACCUUUGUGAACCAAAAAUGUGAAAGCAUGUAUGAUGCUUAUUUAAUAACAACAAAUUGUCCAUCAAACACUCUAUGCAAGCACUUCAAAUAGUCAACAAAGAAUUGAAAACCCUAGAAAUCCCGGUUUAAGUCCAUUAUGGACUAGGAUUUCCUUAUUGGGCCUAAUGGGCCAAUAAGCUUCCAAUUUGACUAUUUUGGGCUUAGAACUCUUAAAUGGGCUUUAAUUGGACCCACUUCCAUUUAUUUUAACAUUUUGGGCCAUAUUGGGCCUAGAAUGAAAUAAAAUAUCCUAAUGGACCACAUUGGGCCAUAACUAACCUAAUUAGCUUUAAUGGGCUAUGAAACCCAUUAUUUUUGCCAAAUUGGGCCUUAAUUCAUCAUAGGAGCCCAGUGGGCCAAAAAUCAUCAAAAAUGGGCCCAUAAGAUGGAAUUAAGCACCAAAGGCCCAAAAAUCUCUUCUUUCUUCCUUUUUCUCGGCCCAAAAAGAAAACAAAAAAAAAAAAAGAAAUAAGAGAAGGGUUGACUUUAGGAGGUGUCACCUCCUUAUUACACACCAUGCACCCAUGUAUGGACCAACAUGUAUCUAGACUAGUCAUCUCACCCUCUCUAUUCCCUCUCUCUCUUUUCCUUCGGCCAAAGACAACAAGCACACACACACACACCUCACAAAUUCUCUCUAAACCACUCUCAAGAUCAUCCUCUUGUUCUUUGAAGAUCUCGAAAAUUUGGCUAGAAAUCUAAGGAUUUUCAUCAAGUAGUUCACAUCCUUGGUAAGUUAUUGCUUUGAUACAUAACAUAUCUUCUUCAUUUCAUCAACAAUCCCCCUUAUCUCAUACAAAAUUCGUGAUCUUGCCUCUUAGAACACAUCUAAGUCAAAAAUCCUCCAAGAAGCUUGCUAGGCCAAGAAUAGCAUCAAACUUCUUAUAUUCUUCAUCAAAAUCGAAACCACAAACUCAAGGAGAGUUCAUACCCCUCUUUUUUCGGUUUUUACUAGUUUUAUGGGGGAGAAUACAAGUAAAAUGUGUAGAUCUAUGUGUAUGUGUGUGUUAUGUAUGAUUUUAUGCAUGUAUGUGUGAUUGUAUGUGUUUAUGUGGUAAAUAUUCAACAAAAAGAUUAGAAAUCUCGAGAUCUAUGGCAUAAGAAGUAAAACAAACUUGAUCUAAGUUAUACCACACUAAAAAAGUCAAGAAAAAUACCCUCUAUGAUUUAAAAUAGACACUUUGUAACAUAAAACAAAUUUUUGGGGCUUAAAUUGUCAAAUAAACAAAAGUUGGUGGAAAGGUUGCUAUUCACGGUUUUAUUGAGGGGAAAAAGAGUCAAAAGAGUUAAAAUAAAUGUUUUUGUGACAAUUAUGCUCUUCAAAGGACUUGAAAUGUAAAUAAUAGCUCAAUGGGCCAAUUUUUGGGCUUUUCGGCCCAUUAAGCCCAAGGUUGCGAAAAAUCUGAUUUUCAAAGGGCUAAAAUGAAAAUUUUCUCAAAAAAGGGGAUAAAAAGGGUAAACAAAAUCAUUUCAGGGGUUAAAAUGCUUUUCUUUACCAAAAAGGAUAAAAAAUGUAAGGUUUUUGGAUUUUGGGCCAAAAUUGUAAAAGUUGCAAAAAGUUUGGACUUUAGCCGUAAAAUACUUUUCUGGAAGGGCUGAAACUGAUAGAAGUAAAUUUUGAGCUAAAACCACCACAUAAACAAAGUCUAUGGGUCAAAAAUGAUAAGAAAAUGGUUUUAGGGCCUAAACUGUCUUUUUAUAUAUAUAAAGGGCUAAAAUUGUCAUUUUUAUCCAAGAAGAGCUGAAAUGGUCAAACCAAUAUUUUGACUCAAUUAUUUUAUUAUUUAAGAUAUUUGGGUCAAAAAUAGCAAACCACAACUUAUGACAAAUGGCAAGAUGAAUAUACAUAAAUUCUGAAUAUCGGACUCGUAUCGAUAAAAAUUUAACAAUUGUUCAAUUAAACAUUUCGACAACUGUACUAUACCCACAACAAGUAAACAUUAAAUCCUUUGGGUUUGAAAGUUCCAUACAUGUUUAUUGGGCCUUUGUGACCCAUUAAGAUGAUCUUGGGCCCAAGGGGUAAUUAUAAAUGUUAUUGGGCCUUCUAUGACCCAAUUUCAUAUUUAAGGGACCCUCAAUGGCUUAAGUGCUAUUGGGCCUUAGUGGCCCAUUAGCAUUGCUAUUAAGGUCCAAGUAAUCAAAUACGAAAUGGGCCAACGUGUCCUUCGUAUACCCAACAGCCUAAAAUAACUCACGAAGGUAGCAGGGUUUGUAUUUCCUCUUCUCCUCAUUUGUUAGGCUUACGCGUAACCAAAGUAAACAAAUACAUGUCGAAGUCAAUUGGGAUUUAGUGAGUAAUAACGGGUAGCACCAACGUGUGCCGGUCAUAUUCUGUAGUUAUAAUCAAAGUCUCCUGGAGGGAGAGUGAGAGUUUGUGUAUAGAUCUAUAUGGGGGUGACUCCCCCACACCUCAGUUGUUCACUACAAUUAGACUCGGCCAGUCUAGGGUGACAAAAUCUUAAGAUCAAUUCCGACGUUCACCAGAGUGCCAAGACAGACGAACUAGUCAUUAUCAUGCAUGGUUAUAGCGACUCACAUAAAUAAAUCCAAUGUAAACCAAGUAAACAAGGUAAUACAAAAUCAUUCACGUAAUGAGUAACCAUUCAAACCGUUAUAUGAUAUUUUUAUUUUGGAAAACAUCGGGUUUUCCGGGGAAGUUCAACAUUUUCACUUGUACGUUUAAUACUAAGUUUUUCAGUUAUACAUGUUUUGAAAUCAUCAUACAUAUAUUUACGAAUCUUCACACCUUUUUAUACACAAUGGUCUUUUCAGAAAAUAUCGGAUUUUCUGGGUUGUUUUUGUUCAAACUACACAAAACAUUUCAUAUCAAACCUGCUUAUGAACUCACCAACAUUCUAUAUGUUGACCCGUUUUCAAAAUAACUUGUAUUCUCAGGUAACAGGUAAGAUGGGGAAUAAGUACCAAGUAUGUUAGUGUGUUUUGCUUUUGAAAACUAUCAAACAAUUUAUGUAUGGAUUUGUAACGUUAAAACAAUGUACUUGAUGUGAACAAUGUCAGUUGUAAUAUAUUGAUGCAUGGUGAUGUUUAUUUUAUGAUUCAUGUAUAUUCAUUGUGAUGAUAUUCAAUUUAACUCACACGAGCCCUCGGACGUUUCCGCCGUCUGGUUCGGGGGUGAGACACUAAUUCCUUUAGGACAUGGAUCUUGUCCAAAAAGCCUUAGAAUCUCAAAUCCACGCAUGCAAACCUAGAGCUAGGGCCUAGCUAUCAAAUAAUCACGAAAAGUCUCAAGCUUGAUUCCAUGCAUGGCUUUUUUGAGCUCAAAAGACAAUAAAUACGUCUUUAGCACUUGCAUGGGAGUUCUAAGGGCAUAAAGUUUGCACCAUUAUGUCCUCACAGCAUCUCUAGGCACUAGAUCUGGAAGAGCAACUCUUGGGUCGAUCCUUACCCACAAGCUAGAAAAUCUUGGACCAAAAACCCAAAAAAAGAGGUCAUAAAUAGAUCUAAGAAGAGAAUGAUCAAGUUUGAGGCUUUAUUACCAGAAAAUGAAGCUAAAGGGAUGAAACUUUUGGAUCUAUUGUUUCUCUCUUGAGUCCUCUAACUUCUUCUUCUUCCACAAGCUUCAAAAGGCACAAAUAACAAUCAAAAGUGGCUCACACACUCAAAAAGCACUCUACGUUUUCGUAGCUAAGGGUUUGGGACAAGGAGGCUACAAAUGAGGCUAAGGGGUGGGGAUUAAGGUGUUUAAAUAGGGUGAAAAACCCCGAAAUUAGGGUUUCACCUUGACUGAGCUACUCCCCGAGUCAGGGAAUUGACUCGCCGAGUAGAUAACUUAAACCCCGUGCAUAGUCUUCCUUCUACUCGACGAGUUAGGGCUACCAACUCGUUGAGUCCUUCUCUCAAAAUAAAUAAAUAAUUAAAUAAAAUGCGUGCCAGGGAACCAGGCGUUACAAUUCUCCCCUACUUGUCUUAGACUUCAUCCUCGAAGUCACCUGCAUCUGAAAACAACUUCGGGUAGUUCUCCCUCAUCUCCUCCUAGGGCCCCCAUAUCCACUCUGAACCCUUACGGUGUUGCCAUUGCACGUUCACUAGCUCAACCCUCUUGUUCCUCAGCACCAUCAUCUUGCAAUCCAGAAUCGCCACCGGUCUCUCAAUGUAAUUCAGGCUGUCAUCAACCUGAAUAUCCUCUAAAGGUAUAACUGUCAUGGCAUCCACUAAGCACUUCCGUAACUGGGAAACAUGGAAAGUGUUAUGAAUCUGGCUGAGCUCCGCAGGAAGAUCCAAACGAUACGCUACCUGGCCACCCGGGCAAUGACUCUGAAAAGGCCAAUAAACCUCGGGCCCAGGUUGCUCCUCUUCCGGAACCUAAUAACACCCCUCUAGGGUGACACCUUCAGGAGGACCAUAUCGCCCACAUGAAACUCUAAGUCUGAACGCCGCUUGUCGGCCUAACUCUUCUAUCGACUCUAAGCAGUUUGGAGCCUGCUUCGGACCUGUUGGAUCCGCUCUGUGGCCUUGAGUACUAACUUCGUGCUCCCCACGACCCUCUGACCGACCUCACCCCAAUAGAUUGGGGUCCUACACUUCCUCUCAUAGAGCAUCUCGAAGGGAGGCUGGUCUAUACUGGCAUGGUAACUGUUGUUAUACGAAAAUUAUGCUAACGGAAGAUACAUAUCCCAACAGCCACCGAAAUCCAAAACACAUCCACAAAGCAUGUCCUUGAGAGUCUGAAUCAUCCUCUCGCUCUAUCCAUCGGUAUGGGGUGGAAAGCAGUGCUGAAGUGGAGAUGAGUACCCAUCUCGUCGUGAAACUGCUUCCUAAAUCUGAAAGUAAAACGGACAUCUCGAUCAGACACUACUGAGACAGACACUCCAUGCUAUGACACCACCUCUUGCACAUAAAUAUCGACCAACUUCUUGGUGAAGGGUUUUGAGCAUUCUAACACUCCUAAGGUGUACAUACAACCCUAGAAACCUUGGAUCUAUGUUUUACUAUGAUACAUGCAAAUUUGAUUUCCAAGGUUUAUAUCCUAUCUAGCAUACAUGGGGAACUUUUAAACAUAAAAGUAACCAAGAAAACAUACCUUGUAGUAGUUUGGAUUCCUUGAAAAACCUUGUGAUCCUAGCACCUCAAGUGUGAUGCCUUAAAUGUCUCACACAACACCAAAUGCACUUGGAAUAACUUAGAGAGAAGUGGAACACUUCUUGAAAAUGGCUAGCCCUCACCUUUCUUUCUUAGUGACGAUUUUGUUGAACAAAGUGUUACUUAUAUAGUGUGUUACAAUUAGGGUUACACCAUGUAAACGCUAAUUGUCAUGACUUUUCAUUUCCAUGACCCAUUGGUUCUAUAAACACCAUGGAGCAUCCAUGGAGCAUCCUAUGGGUUUUAUCCCAACUUGAUAAUCCAUGAAGCAUUAGCCCACUAUAUAAGUAUGGAUGAUUUACACAAUCAAUCCAUAUAUUUAAUUAGUCUCCUUUUGAUCACUUAAUUAAUUCCAACUAAUUCUUGAUCAAUACUAAUUAAAUAAUAUUAUUAAUAUAUUAGAACUUAUAAUAUAUUAAUAAACCUUACGUGUUAUUUUUUUUCAUUUUAGUCUAUCCAAAUGCAUGAUGCCAUGCAACCCAAAUGGACCAUGCCAAACUGGGUCAAGUACAUACUAGAAAUUGUUAUGGACUUAGACACCUUAUCCAAAAGACUCCCACUUGGAUGAGUCUAAUAACUAUAACUGCAAGUAUGACUUUAGGAACCGAUUAGCAAUCGUAGCUCUUUCAAGGUCUCUCAGAACUAAGAUGACGAUGAUACGCCAUUUAAGAUAAGUGAUCGUAUAAUCCUCUGUUCUAGAUAUCAGCUGGACAAAUACAUGGAACAAUGUCUUGCUUAUUGUCCAAUAGUUUGUUCCCCGAUUUCUGAUUUGUUUGACAUAGAACUUAAUUGAACACGUCAACUUAGUUCUGACCAGGCCCGGUACAUAGUUCAAAACAAAAUCAACGAGGGGCCCAGAUAUCACUUCUAAUCCAAGAAGGAACAGAUAAACUUCGACUCAUAUACUUGUUCUACUACUUGUUAAAUUAUACACAAAGGCAUGUUUUAUAACAUCGAGUUACCAAUGUGUUUUCGUAUAAUCAAUGUAUAACCAACUCAUAGGCAACAAGUCAUAUCUCUAGGUUUGAAGACUUAUAUGAUAUUACCAUCUCAUGAUCACUCAAGAUAAAUUCCAUGAAGUGAUACAAGUGAGCGUGGGUUGAAUCCAAUACUCAGAACUUAUGAGCACUCAUGAGUGUUGUAGCACCUCUUUGCUAUGUCCAACAACUUAGACAUCUACAAGCNAAGCCAACUCUGACAUCCUUGAUUCAUAUCUACUUCCAACAUUUGACUCACUGUGGAGAAUUUGAAUAAUAUGAUAUACAAUAACAUAAUUAUUCUGGAAGUCAAAACAUGCAAAAUGAAAUGAUAGUAAACGAUUGACAAAAGAUAGCAACACGUAUACUUAUAAAUAAACAACAACUUUUAUUUAUCAUCAAAUUUCGAUUACACUUUAAAAAUUUCAAAGUUAUCUAACUACUAAAACUAAUAUCAUCCUUCAGCCCUAUGCACUUCGCAUGCUGGAGAUGCUUAACCCUACCCAGUCCCUUCGUGAGGGGAUCUGUUGGGUUCUAAUCUGAUGAUAACCUCUUUGCCAUGAGGAGUCCUUCUCCUAUUCGAUGUCUGAUGAAAUGGUAUUUUCUGUCAAUGUGUCUAGAUCUCCUAUGAUCCGUUGGUUCCUUGGCUAAGGCAACUGCACUUUCACUAUCACAUAAAAUAUCUAUAGGCUCUUUUAUAGCUGGUACAACUCCAAGGUCUCCAAUGAUGUUCUUUAGCCAUAUNACCUCGCUUGCCGCUAUAUACUCUGAUUUGCAAGUUGAAUCAGCCAAUGUCUCCUGCUUGGAACUUUUCCAAGUUACUACUCCUCCGUUUAAGGUAAAGACCCAGCCUGACUGAGAGCGGAAAUUAUCCCUAUCAGUUUGGAAGCUAGCAUCACUAUACCCUACUACUCUCAAGUCAUCACUCCCACCGAGGGUAAGGACCUAAUCCUUAGUCCUCCGAAGGUAGUUAAGAAUGUUCUUCACCGCAUUCCAGUGAGCCUUGCCAGGGUUCCCCUGAUAUUUGCUGACCAUGCUCAAGGCAAAGGCCACAUCAGGACGAGUACAGGUCAUAGCAUACAUGAUCGAGCCUACAGCGGAAGCAUAUGGAACUCAACUCAUCUCAGCUAUCACAUCCUCUAUACUCGGACUCUGAGUCUUACUCAGUCUGGCGUUACUCUGGAUCGGUAACUCUCCUUUCUUGGAAUUCUGCAUGCUGAAACAUUUCACCACCUUACCCANUCUGACUAAGUCCAAUUAGUCUUUUACUCAUGUCUCUCAAAAUCCUUAUCCCUAGGAUAUAGGUAGCUUCUCCAAGGUUCUUCAUAGCGAACUUUCCAAGCCAGUACUUAACCUCCUGCAAAGUUGGAAUGUCAUUUCCCAUGAGUAGUAUGUCAUCCACAUACAGUACCAAAAAGCUAACUAUACUCCCACUAGCCUUAACAUAUACACAAGAUUCAUCUUCACUUCUCGAAAAGCCAAACUCUUUGACUUCCUCAUCAAAACAAAGAUUCCAUCUGAGAGGUGCUUGUUUCAAUCCAUAAAUGGAUUUCUCAAGCUUACACACUUUAUUAAGGUACUCUGUACUGACAAAAACCUCUGGCUGAACCAUGUAAGCAUCUUCAGCCAACNUUUCAUUAAGGAAAGCAGUUUUGACAUCCAUUUGCCAUAUUUCAUAGUCAUGAAAUGCAGCAAUAGCUAACAUAACCUUAAUAGACUUAAUCUUUGCUACUUGUGAAAAGGUCUCAUCAUAAUCAGUCAACUCCCGGAGUUUGAUAAAAUCCCUUUGCAACCAGUCGCGCCUUAUAAGUGUGUACAUUACCAUCCAUGUUGGUCUUCUUCUUGAAGAUCCAUUUGCACCCAACUAUCUUAUGACCUGGUACAUUUUCAACCAAGUUCCAAACUUGAUUGUCAUACAUGGAAUGUAUCUCGCUGUCCAUAGUCUCUUUCCAUUUAGCAGCCUCAGGGCCUGCCAUGGCUUUCGUGUAGCUGUUAGGUUCAUCCAGACCAUUUGGUGUGUUAUCACUGAUAAGUGUAUCACCUUCCGUAGUAAUAUGGAAACAAUAGUAAUGCUCAGGUGCAUUCCUAACUCUCAUGGAACGCCUCAGAGGUACAGACUCGUCAGUCGGAUCAACAGGAGUUUCCUCCUCUGGUUGAUUGCUAGGGUUUGAGGUUCCUUCACCACUUGACUCUUGAAUUUCUUCAAGAUCAAUUUGCCUCCCACUAUUUCUUUGGCUUAUGAACUCUCUCACGAAAGACUCCCCUCCUUGCUACAAAGACCACAUUAUCAUUGGGUUUGUAGAAGAGGUAACCGAAGGAUUUCAGUGGGUAGCCGAUGAAAAUACAACUCUCACUUCGGGGUUCGAGCUUAUCGAGAGUCUCGUGCCUCACAAAAGCAUCGCAACCCCAAAUAUUGAUGUGGUCCAGAUUUGGAACUUUUCGGGUCCACAUCUCAUGAGGUGUUUUGGCAACCUUUUUGGUAGGGACUAGAUUAAGAAUAUGGGCGGCAGUCUCUAAGGCAUACCCCCAAAAAAGAAAUUGGUAGCGAAGCUCGAUUCAUCAUGGAAUGAACCAUGUCCAACAAAGUUCGAUUACGUCUCUCAGCCGCACCAUUAAGCUGUGGUGUCCUGGGAGGUGUCAAUUGUUAAAUAAUCCCACAUUCCUUAAGAUAGUCAAGGAACUCUGUACUAAGAUAUUCACCACCUCGAUCGGAUCAAAGCAUCUUAAUGUUCCUGCCCAAUUGAUUCUCCACUUCCUGCUUAAACUCUUUGAACUUUUCAAAGGUUUCCUACUUAUGCCUGAUUAAGUAGACAUAUCCAUAUCUACUAAAAUCAGCAGUAAAAGUCACACAGUAGCUGUUAGCAUCCCUUGUGGCGGUUCUGAAGGGUCCACACACAUCAGUGUGUACCAGAUCCAACAAACCUUCACCCCUAGCACAAGAACUAGUGAGGUGAUUUUGUCAUUUUUCCAAGUAGACAAGAUUCACAACUAUCAUCCGACUUUAGGUCAAAUGACUCCAAGACUCCAUCCUUUUGGAGUUGGCCUAUGCGUUUCUUACUUACAUGUCCAAGGCGACAAUGCCAUAAUGAUGCUUUAUCCAAGUUAGUGGAAGAAUCAAUACACAACAUAUUAUUUCCUAGGUUAUCUACAACAGACAUAGCUUCAUACACACCAUCACAAGGUAAU
rnacentral:lncRNA from 1 species